GCUUCUCAAGGGUGCAGUUAAAUGCCUCAUUAGACAACGUACUGAGUGAUCAUGACAUUUUCUUCCCUAGGGUGUUUGAAGGAGGAAGGAAGGACCAAAAUGGUGUGGUUGACUCAGCAAACAUUAAUCAAGCCUUCAUAUGUGCCAAGCUCUAUACUAGGUACUGGAAUUCCAGGAAGAAGUAAGAAGAAUCUUUGCUCACAGGUAUUUGUGUUUGGACCCAUAUAUGGAAACCAACUACCUAUUUAUUGUUUUCUGGAUUUACCUUAGCAACUUGGCAUUCUACAAAGUCAUGAACUGAAGGAAAGGAUUUUCCUGAGAAGAGAACUUACAACAGCCUAACAGAAGCAUGAGCACACGGACUGCCACUUAUUCCCUACAAAGGGAACUCACGCAGCUAGACUCAGUGUCAUCAUUUCAAAGAUGUGUGCACAUACAAGGACUCUCUUGAUCCUUUAUUUAAAAGGCGAUCAAUCUAUUUUAAAAUUGCCUUCAAAAGACAUGAACUAGUCCGGCUCCAACACUUGAAUUUUCAUGCUGUCUCAUAUUGACUAUAGUAACUACAGUAACAAACCAACAUCCACAGGGUGAAGCUACCCUCCCUCAUGCUGGUGAACAGGGUACUUUUUGGAAGUCAGCACUUUGGCCAACAGAGCUUCUGAGAUGGGAAGAUCAGGCCCCUUCUCAGGACGAGGCCCUGCCUGGAUGGAGUACCUGCAAGACAGAGCAAGUAUUUCAUCUUAGAGUACUUAGGAGAGAGGCCCCAUUUCACUUUACUGAGGAGGGCAAAAUUAGUCU